rnacentral:lncRNA from 1 species
GUGACAAAUAGAUGACAGAGAAAUGUCUUGAAGUAGUAAAAAUAUCCUUAAGUCAGGGCUGGUUAACCUGUUGACAUACGUCUUAUGCCUAAGAUCUGGUCGUUCCAGACUUCGGCCUGCAGCUGAAGGGCACAGAUGGCAAGCGUUUGCAUCCUCAGACUUCCUCAGCAUGUGCCUGUGUCCUGUUUCCUUUGAGGUGUUCUCUCUGUGGUGAAAAGCUCUUUUGAUGUCUGCCUGGUGAUUUUAUUUUUAUUUUCAUAGAAUUUACAUGAAUUCUAUUCUGAGCAAUUUCUUCUAAUAAGACCUAACAUAUUCUUAGAUUACCAUUGUCCUAAAGAAAACAGCAAUAGUUGCUUACACAUUUAUUUUACUUAGAUAUACAGUUUCACAUAGCCCAGGCUGGUCUUAAAUUCACAGUGCUGUGUACCUGAGAGAGACCUUGAACUUCUGUUUCUCCUGCCUCUGUCUCAGAAGUGCUGAGGUUAGAGAUAUGCAGGGAUCAAGCUGGGGGCUUUGCUGAUGUGAGACAAGUACCUAACCACCCUAACAUGGCCCACUCUGCUGUGGGCUACCUCUCUAGCCCACACUUACUUUCCUUCCUCUGAACCCUUCUCCUUACUUUCCUGGAUCACAUUCUGGGCAUGUUUCAAUGUAGAGGUAAUAAGAACAAUUGGCCUUUGCAUAACAGUGUUAGUGAGAAAGCAAGACUGAAUUUCACCAUACAGGGCAAGAGCAGAAAUACAAUCUGGACUCUUACAACCAGAGUGUUGUUCCUCUCAGACGAGAAUGAAUCUGUUCAUAGAAAUUUUGAUCAGAAAUACAUUUUCCUGUAUUAUAGGGCAUAGUUGAGGGUCAUUGAAUUGUUAAAUGAAUGUAAUUUAGUUAUAGAAGAAGUUUUAUAAAAACCAAUAUUUCACAUUAUGGCAAGUUAAUAUGAUUAUUAAAUGACUACAACCUC